GGCACUUUGGCGGAGAGGUUAACGCGAUGCCCUGCUAUGUUGUAAAACAAGCCUGUUAGGCAUUUCCUUCGGGAGCGUGUGUUCGAAUCACACAGGUGUCG